AACGCGAAGAACCUUACCAAGUCUUGACAUCCUUUUGACCGGUCGGUAAUGCGACCUUCUCUUCGGAGCAAAAGUGACAGGUGGUGCAUGGUUGUCGUCAGCUCGUGUCGUGAGAUGUUGGGUUAAGUCCCGCAACGAGCGCAACCCUUAUCUUUAGUAGCCAGCAUUUUAAGAUGGGCACUCUAGAGAGACUGCCAGGGAUAACCUGGAGGAAGGUGGGGAUGACGUCAAAUCAUCAUGCCCCUUAUGACUUGGGCUACACACGUGCUACAAUGGCGUAAACAAAGAGAAGCAAGACUGUGAAGUGGAGCAAAUCUCAAAAAUAACGUCUCAGUUCGGAUUGUAGUCUGCAACUCGACUACAUGAAGCUGGAAUCGCUAGUAAUCGCGAAUCAGAAUGUCGCGGUGAAUACGUUCCCGGGUCUUGUACACACCG
rnacentral:rRNA from 1 species